GACUCCGUCUAGCCCCGCUCCGCGAGAAGAGGCUGAACUGCCCCAUCUGCUUCUAAUUUCUUUCUUUCUUUCUUUCUUUCUUUUUUUCCCCUCUUUUCCUUUUCUUCUUUUAAAUAUACGUUUGGAAAUUUGCCGGGCGUGGUGGCGGGCGCCUGUAAUCCCAGCUACUCGGGAGGCUGAGGCAGGAGAAUCGCUUGAAUCCGGGAGACGGAGGUUGCAGUGAGCCGAGAACGCGCCACUACACUCCAGCCUGGACGACGAGAGUGAUACUCCGUCUCAGUCAAUCAAUCAAUCAAUCAAUCGUUUGAUUUUCGUUUUAUGCUUUUACUUCCAAAUUUAUAUUUAUUGCAAAAAAUGUGGAAUAUAACAAAGUGUAAAGGUGAAACUGAAAUAACCCGAAAUUAUAUUUCCCCCUCUGUGGUUUUUUUUUUUCCGUCUCUGUGUUUUUCAAUGUUUUUCAGGCCUUCUGUCUUGAGCUCGUAUUACUGCUGUUCACUGAUGUAUUGUAAAAGCGUAAAACCGGACGUGACCCAAAUGUCUAUCAAAGGAGACUGAUGAGAGAAAUAAACGGAUUUGUUCACACAACGGCUUCUACAGCAAAGAAACAGAAGGCCCCACCGGCUUCCCGGAUGGAGCCCGCGCCCCGGUCGACAUUCUCGGACUGCAGAG
rnacentral:lncRNA from 1 species